rnacentral:misc_RNA from 1 species
GUAGCGUCGGCUCCUCUCAAAUGGAUCAGCUUGCCAGUGUUUGGUGGCAUCACGGGUGUGAUAACUAUCUACGCUUGUGGUUCUCCACCAUGUAACCUUCAGCGAUGGAGGUUCGCUGGAGCUCACAGAUGUCUCUCCUUGGUGAGGACAGCUUUUGAACGUUUGAUCUCAAAUCAGGUAGGACUACCCGCUGAACUUAA